UGUGGGAGGGGGCUUGCCCCCGAUAGCGGUGUGUCAGCCACCCAAUGGAUUACUGAUUCAACGCCAUCGGGGGCAAGCCCCCUCCCACA
rnacentral:misc_RNA from 1 species